CGGCGAGUGAAGCGGCAAAAGCUCAAAUUUGAAAUCUGGCUCUUCUGGGUCCGAGUUGUAAUUUGUAGAGGAUGCAAUUGGUGCGGCCUAGGUCCGAGUCUGCUGGAAGGCAGCGCCACUGAGGGUGACAGCCCCGUACGAUUGAUGGUUGAGCCACUGUGAUGCUCCUUCGAAGAGUCGAGUUGUUUGGGAAUGCAGCUCAAAGCGGGUGGUAAAUGCCUUCUAAAGCUAAAUAUUGGCCAGAGACCGAUAGCGCACAAGUAGAGUGAUCGAAAGAUGAAAAGCACUUUGGAAAGAGAGUGAAACAGUACGUGAAAUUGUUGAAAGGGAAGCGCUUGCGAUCAGACUUGAGCCUGCAUGUUCCCCCGUUCCUUUGGACGGGAUAUUCGUGUGGAGCAGGCCAGCAUCAGUUCUGACGGCCGGAUAAAGGUUUGGGGAAAGUAGCUUUUCACUUGUGGGAAGUGUUAUAGCCCCGGACACAAUACGGCCUGACGGGACUGAGGACAGCGUUCGCUAGGAUGCUGGCGUAAUGGUCGUAAGCGGCCCGUCUUGAAACACGGACCAAGGAGUCUAACAUCCGUGCGAGUGUUUGGGUGUCAAACCCACACGCGCAAUGAAAGUGAACGGAGGUGGGAGCUUAGGCGCAUCAUCGACCGAUCCUGAUGUCCUCUGAAGGAUUUGAGUAAGAGCAUGGGGGUUGGGACCCGAAAGAUGGUGAACUAUGCGUGAAUAGGGUGAAGCCAGGGGAAACUCUGGUGGAGGCUCGCAGCGGUUCUGACGUGCAAAUCGAUCGUCAAAUUUGCGUAUAGGGGCGAGAGACUUAUCGAACC
rnacentral:rRNA from 1 species